CAAGCUAUACUUAUAGGGUUAGGCACACCUUGACACACCUUCACACGGCCGUAUGCAAAUCCGCAAACAGAUACUCAAGGAGUUCUAUUUAGAGAUCAUUCAGCAGCAGCCUCUGACCUACUGGUGGGUAAACACACUCCCAGACGCUCUCUACAAGGAAACAAUGGAGUUAUUUAACCGGUGGGACGACAUGACCAAGCAGAAAAAUAAACUAUUGGUUAUUUAGUUUUGUAUUGGUCUCAGUACUAUUAUUAUCAGUGACCCCUCUUCCACAGUCUAAAAUCAACCCUAAAAGUGUAUUUGUGAUCUGCUGAUACAGAUUCUGCUGUAGGAUUGCAUAUCAGUGGGCCUUUAUGAAAGGUAAUAUAACGUGAUGACAGCAUGACAUCAUUUCUCAUCGACUUAUGAACUCAGCAGUGUUAUUGUUUGUUAUACGUCCUGGCCCUGAAUGAAUACACUUAUUAGAUGUUGUACGUCCUUGCACUUAAAAACAGUCCUUAGUAUGUUGUAGCAUCUUACCCUAGCUAUCUCUGUAGUAUACGGAGAAUGGGUUAACCUAGUGAUAGAUAGUGCUUGGCACUUGGUUCUAUGAACAUCCUUACUGUACCGACAGAGAUAUAUUGUUGUUUCCCUUUCUUCUGACAAAUGGACUUAUUGUAAGUCGCCCUGGAGAAAAGCAUCUGCUUAAUGCCCUGAAUUAAAAUGUUAUUGUAAUGAAUGUUCAUGAUAAGCAUAUUGUAUUAGUGAAAGGCAAGCUGUUCCACGAGGACGGGAGCAGUUUGGACCGGUUGGAUCCAGGUGGAACCAGUUGGAUCCAGGUGGAACCAGUUGGAUCCAGGUGGAACCAGUUGGAUCCAGGUGGAACCAGUCGGGACCAGUUGGGCGCCAGGCGGGAAAAUAACAGACCGGUGAAUAAAGACGACCGAUUCUGUGGUGAAUUAGGUGGGUGGUUUCACCAUAAUGUGAGAUAUCAAUCAUAUUAUUUCACAUUAUCCAUAGCCAAUAUAUCUUCCGUUAGGAUGAACAUUACUUCAGAGACGCUAUCUCAGACUCUGGACGUGUUUUGGUUCCGGUUUCAGACCCAGCUAGCAUAGAACAAGUUAGAUGAUCUCCUCCACAUCGGUAUGUUUAACUGUCGACGUGGG
ensembl:lncRNA